GCCAGGCGUGGUGAUGCAUGCCUGUAGUCUCAGCUACUCAGGAGGCUGAGGUGGGAGGAUCGCUUGAGCCCAGGAGUUCUGGGCUGUAAUGUGCUAUGCUGAUCGGGUGUCCACACUAAGUUCGGCAUCAAUAUGGUGACCUUCUGGGAGAGGAAACCAUCAGGUUGUCUGAGGAGGAGUGAACCGGCCCAGGUCAGAAAUGGAGCAGGUCAAAACUCCCGUGUUGAUCAGUAGUGGGAUCGUGCCUAUGAAUAGCUACUGAACUCCAGCCUGAGCAACCAUGGUGCAACCCCGUCUUUU
ensembl:misc_RNA Metazoa_SRP Metazoan signal recognition particle RNA